AAAAACUCCAUUCCUCCACCAAGAACUUGAUGAGACUGGCUUUGUUGGCAGGGCUGCAGAGAAGUUUCCUCCACUGCUGAAUAUUGUGGCCAGAAACAAUGUUUCUGAACUGGAUCCCCAUGUCUGCACCUCUGUUUAGUCUUUCUGAAUUUUUGAUUGACAUGUCCUUGUAAACGUCAAAGACAACAUCAAUCCUUUCACUAUCACCACCUUCAUGCAGGACCUUGGCUAAAGUUGAGUCCAGCCAGCUUCCACCAUGUCAGGAUUGCGUAUUAAUGCAACCGAUUCAUGCCAACUACCAGGCUGCUAUCUGGAGACGGUCUCCAAGCCCCAAGGACCAUGGGUGGACCAUAAAUGACGAAGGGCAGCUGGAAAUACAGUGGAUGCGUGGUUCCCCAGCACCAGAUGCGGUCUUGCAGUUGCUAUCCUGCAAGUGUGUGAGGACAUGCAAACCACCAGACUGCACCUGUCUCAGCAAUGGGCUGAAGUGCACAAACAUGUGCAAAUUACAAACUUGUGCCAACCAAUACAGUGAGGAAGAGCCCCUCGCACACUGGCAGAUUCAGAUGUAGAAUAAGAUACAGAUACUGAUGUCGGUUAUUGAUGUUGAUUAAUAAAUGAUGACCAAAAGGAGCUAUGUUAACAGACCCACUGUGACUCAGUGACAGUAUUAUGUACUAAGCCAAAACUUGGCAGUCAUAUUUGCUGUCACUGUUCCUUAUGGAAAGAAUAGGACUUUGAAUAGGAAUUUGAGUUUUUCUUAGAUGAUUGUAUAGAGUGUAUACAUGAGUAGAUCUUAUUUUGUUGCUAAUGUCUUCUUGCCCUGCACCAGCCAG